GACGAACCGUGCGAACGUUGUUCGGAAUCACUGGGCUUAAAGGGCGCGUAGGCGGCCCUCUUGGUCGUGGGUGAAAUCCCCCAGCUCAACUGGGGAAGUGCUUACGAUACCGGGGGGCUCGAGGGAGGAAGGGGCGGCCGGAACUGUCGGUGGAGCGGUGAAAUGCGUUGAUAUCGACAGGAACGCCGGUGGCGAAAGCGGGCCGCUGGCCCUCUUCUGACGCUGAGGCGCGAAAGCUAGGGGAGCGAACGGG
rnacentral:rRNA from 1 species